rnacentral:lncRNA from 1 species
GGACUGGAGCCGCUUGUACUAAAGUCCCCUAAGCAAGGGCACAGCUCUUGUUACCGCCUGCUAAUGGAGUGGGGCUAUUUCAGUAGCAUUGAUUGACUGCUUUCUUCCUCUGAGGGAGCAACUUUCUCAUAUCUAGGGGAAAUGGAUCAUAAGCACCCUAGCAAAUGAGAGAAGGCCGGUGGAGGACGGAUGAUGAUGUCGGUGGCACGAAAAGGCCCUCUGUGCUACUGUCUGGUGGGGUGCAGUCAUUCCACCAUGGAACAUGACAAAGCCCAGUCCUCCCUGGCCACUAAACAAAACAUCUUUCCUGCCUGAUUGUUUUCAACAUGGGAAAAGAGGGGUUAAAACUGAGGAAAUGGACGACCUGAUUGCUAUCCGAGGAUUCAUAAAUUCUUUAUGGGCAAGUGGAAGUUUAAGGGCUGAUGAAUUCAGUCUGUGAGACUGGUCCUGCCAAACGUGCUCUUCCUUCAACCUGGCCAUCACCCCAACGACUAAGAUAAAAGUACACACAGGAUAUUUUUCUUUGAUUUAACCAUUUUUCAGCUUCCUUUAGUUUCAUCUUAAACCAAGCAUACAUUUUCUUUCAACUCGUUUUUACUGAAUUGUAAAGACUGGCCAUUUCAUGUAUAUCCUCCCUUCGGGUGCUGAUAGCAUUUUUCCUGUUCUAUCUCUAUAUGGGCACAUCAACCUUGUUCCUUUGUUGUCACAACCCUAACACAAAUAAAAUUCUAUAUAAAUAGAUAGUAGCCUGUCUG